rnacentral:rRNA from 1 species
CAAAGGCUUGGUCCUGACUUUACCAUCAGCUUUUACCAAAUCUACACAUGCAAGUCUCCGCAUCCCUGUGAGAAUGCCCUUAAUCCCCCACCCGGGGAUGAGGAGCCGGCAUCAGGCACGCCCCCGCAGCCCAAAACGCCUUGCUAAGCCACACCCCCAAGGGAACUCAGCAGUGAUAAACAUUAAGCUAUGAGCGAAAGCUUGACUUAGUCAAGGUAGACAGGGCCGGUAAAACUCGUGCCAGCCACCGCGGUUAUACGAGAGGCCCAAGUUGAUGGUCACCGGCGUAAAGAGUGGUUAAGGAAUUCAAUAAACUAAAGCUGAACACCCCCUAGGCUGUUAUACGCACCUGGGGGUAUGAAGCCCCCCCACGAAAGUGGCUUUAC